GUCGGACAUGGGUGGCAGCCGGGCGCCACCUGCGGGGCAUCACUCAGGCAGGACCCGGCCCAAGCUCGAGCGAUGCAGGCGCCACCGGAGGAGCGCUCAGAACCCGGAGGGACUAGGCGGGGCGCUGAAACCACCCGCAACGAACUUUGACGAAAGACUUUUGCAGCUGAAAUCCGCAAAUGCCUUUAGUAUCCUCCCUGAGGCGAGCAAGAGACAAAAAUGACUUUAGAGCGACCCCGACCCUAUUUUACCACCCACAGACACACAAGAACGAACAACACAGCGAAAGUACAAAACCUAAUCCCUGCUCUUUAUGAAAUAGGCAUUUAAGAACAUAAAGAAGCAGAGCUCAAGGGGGAGAAAAUAUUUGCAAAACAAUGAAGUGAAAUGAUCUCCUGGGAAAGGUAGGAAGCAGGAGAAAGGCGGAGUGAAACCUCAGGGAGUUUCGCCGCGCUUCGGCUCCACCCGGGAGACCAAAGCCCUGGACCGCUCAGCUGGAGGCUCAGACGUUUCCCCCGCGCGGUGAACAGCAGUGUGCUCUGCAUUCCGUCGCCAAGUCCCGGUCCCAGAGGCGGUGGCUGAGGGCCCCACGUUCCUUCAUUGCAUCCUGGCGCUGCUUCAGCUGCGGGACUGUCCCUGGACCGCGCGGGUCGACCCUCACUCUCUUUGCUAUGACAUCACCAUCAUCCCUAAGUGCAGACCUGGACCACGGUGGUGUUCAGUUCAAGGCCAGAACCCCUCACCCUGCAGGCCAGGAUGUCUUGUGAGCAGAAAGCCGAAGGACACAGCAGUGGAUCUUGGCAGUUCGGUUUCAAUGGACAGAUCUUCCUCCUCUUUGACUCAGAGAUCAGAAUGUGGACAACGGUUCAUCCUGGAGCCAGAAAGAUGAAAGAAAAGUGGGAGAAUGGCAAGGAUGUGACCAUGUCCUUCCAUUACAUCUCAAUGGGAGACUGCACAAGAUGGCUUGGGGACUUUUUGAUGGGCAUGGACAGCACCCUGGAGCCAAGUGCAGGAGGUAACUGAAGAAAGAGAAAUGGGGAUCUCAAGUGGGUAUCCCUGGAGGAGGCUCAGAAGAAAGCAAUCUGGGGCAUUCCCAAGAGGAGGGGGUUUUGAGUUCCCGGGCACACUCAAUUCCUGUGGCAGAAGUUUAGGGCUUCAUUCCAGAGAAACCAGUUCGGGUACCAGCGAUUAAUGUGGAAAGUGAAGAGAAGAGAGUGUCCAGGACAAGGUUUAGAAAAGCCCAAACCCCUGGGACACAUGGGAUUCCUGGCCGGGCCCUGGGCUGAUGCCCCUGCCAUCCCACCUCCAUCACACUCCAGAUCCUGAGCCAGCUGAUGGCUCUGUCUGGAGCAGAGUGGACUCAGAGACCAGGGAUAUGGUGGCACAUGGGGGCGGGUGACCUGCUGCUGGAGUUUCAUGCUUACCUCUGAGCUCACCAGGAAUGGAUGGCACAGGCCAUGGACAGUCACAUUCAGAGUUAUGGGUGCCACUUCAAGGUGAUGUGGGAAGCUCUCUGAUGUGGAACAUCAAGGAAAUGGUAGGUACAGGCUUCAGGGCCAGGGCUGGGUGUGCAGGGAAAAACCUGCCCCUCAGUGACAGGGGCUGUGAGAUGGGGAGUAGUGACUAUGGAGGGGUUUCCCAGGACAAAUGACCCAGGAUUUCUUCAGCGACAUAAACCAACGCUGUGUCUUUUUGGAAGGGUGAACAUGUCCCCAAGAAGGCACCGUGAGCAUGGUCUCCUUCAAAGUCUUUAUUCUUGCUGUCAGCAUGUCCAUCAUAAUAUAAAGUUAGCAGUAAAAUAUUCCACUAAAGUGCAGUAUAUUUUCUCAUGUUGGUAUUGCAUUUCUGUUUCUUUGUCAGACUAGAACAUCUGAACUAGUAAAAGAUUAAGCAACCCAAAUGCUGGAUUAAAAAAAUGUUAAACCUUUCAAAUAUAUUAAUGAGGACUUAAAAGUAACACACAAUAAGAAGUAUCACAUGAAUCUAAAUCUCUCCACAUAGUUUCAAAAAUAUAGAGAUCAAAUAAUAGGGCAAAGAAAGCACCCUGAUCUAUAUUUUCAGUAAAAUGAGUAGAUAGGAAAUGCCUAAAUCCAUCAGAUCCUUGUCUGUAAAACAGAUAAUCGAAACAACUGGUGAAUCUUGGGUAGUGUCUGAGCAUGAGAUGGAUGUAAGGUAUGGAUGUGAAAUCUGUUUUGGUGAUUGUAUUGUGCUUAUUAGGAGAGUGUCGUGGUUUGUAGGAAGAACACUAAAGUAUGGAGCAUGAGGUGGCAUCAUUAAAGAUGAGGCAUCAGUGUGGCAGCUCGCUCUCAAGUAGUGCAGGCAGAGAAGUUCUCUGGAUUCUGCUUGCAAAUACUUUGCAAUUCUUGGUGGUUUCACAUUGGUUUUUUUGUUUGUUUUGUUUUGUUUUGUUUUACUAGUUGAA